UACGGAGGAUGCAAGCGUUAUCCGGAAUGAUUGGGCGUAAAGCGUCCGCAGGUGGCUGUGUAAGUCUGCUGUUAAAGAGUGAGGCUCAACCUCAUAAAGGCAGUGGAAACUACAUGGCUAGAGUGCGUUCGGGGCAGAGGGAAUUCCUGGUGUAGCGGUGAAGUGCGUAGAGAUCAGGAAGAACACCGGUGGCGAAAGCGCUCUGCUAGGCCGCAACUGACACUGAGGGACGAAAGCUAGGGGAGCGAAUGGG
rnacentral:rRNA from 1 species